rnacentral:tmRNA from 1 species
GGGGCUGAUUCUGGAUUCGACGGGAUUUGCGAAACCCAAGGUGCAUGCCGAGGGGCGGUUGGCCUCGUAAAAAGCCGCAAAAAAAUAGUCGCAAACGACGAAACCUACGCUUUAGCAGCUUAAUAACCUGCUUAGGGCCCUCUCUCCCUAGCCUCCGCUCUUAGGACGGGGAUCAAGAGAGGUCAAACCCAAAAGAGAUCGCGCGGAUGCCCUGCCUGGGGUUGAAGCGUUAAAACGAAUCAGGCUAGUCUGGUAGUGGCGUGUCCGUCCGCAGGUGCCAGGCGAAUGUAAAGACUGACUAAGCAUGUAGUACCGAGGAUGUAGGAAUUUCGGACGCGGGUUCAACUCCCGCCAGCUCCACCA